UUCAGUUCUCAGAGUUGAUUUCACUCACUCGGUGAAUGCAGCAGCUCGUUCAUCACUCUCGUGCACCGUGAAUGAUUGGAUGACAGAAUUGUUUUACAGUGUUUCUGUUACCCGCACAGCUGGAAACUUUGCCUGGGAAUUUGUGCUUAAAAAUUUCAGUCAUUGUUUCUGGUCGUGUGUGUAAUAAUGUGCAUCCGAGACCAAAGAAGAGAGGUGCCACACUGGAGGUUUGGAUGGAUUGUUUCUGUUUGAGAUUGACUGCAGUUUGCAGGCUGAGGUACAACAUUGAUCUCUGCUUUCGAUAAAUGUCUUAUGUUUGUAAAGAAAUUGACAGCCAAACGGAUGCCAGCUUGGAACACUGCUGAGGUCGGCUGUCUGGAAAGCAUUGCCAACACCUGCAUCGUCAUUGUAGAAUGUGUCUGUGUUAAAGCUGCAUUGGAAAUGACAAGCUACCGGCCAAAUAUUGGAUGUCUCAUCUGAAGAGCAUGUUAUUUUAAAAACCCAGAUACUAAAGCCACCAGGAGCGUAAUAGAUAUCCUGUCCGAUUUAAAAACUUUUUAAGCUCCCAACAGCAGCAGCAACUUUUCUGGUUACGGAGGUAUAGCUCCCAGUUGUUUGGUUGUGACAUAUCCCACUGAGGGCAUGGCAGUGGUGUUGCCACAUGCAGACAAGGCCUCAGUAUGUCAGGUAUGUUGGUGAACCAGAUCCAGUCAGCCGUUCUCAGAUGAUGGGUGUAACUCUGUACUUUCCUUGACUGGCAUGAUUUAUAAAAAAUGUUGACAAUAAAAGACUACCCGACACUAUGCAAACGGAAAUUAUUUCACUAUAAAUACACUGAGCACAUGAUUGAGUAUGAGACGAGUCCAAGAUAAAGAGAUGAAAUAAUUGGUCCUGGAUCAAGUAUUUUUCAUU